rnacentral:rRNA from 1 species
GUAGGGAAUAUUGGGCAAUGGAUGCAAGUCUGACCCAGCCAUCCCGCGUGCCGGAAGAAGGCCCUCAGGGUUGUAAACGGCUUUUGACGGUGAAGAACCGACAGGAUGCGUCCUGUUUUGACGGUAGCCGUUGAAUAAGCACCGGCUAACUCCGUGCCAGCAGCCGCGGUAAUACGGAGGGUGCGAGCGUUGUCCGGAUUUAUUGGGUUUAAAGGGUGCGUAGGCUGGAAGGUCAGUCAGCGGUGAAAAGCUAUCGCUUAACGAUAGUCUUGCCGCAGAUACUUCCUUUCUUGGAUGAGGAGGAGGCCACUGGAACGGAUGGUGUAGCGGUGAAAUGCAUAGAUAUCAUCCAGAACACCGAGUGCGAAGGCAGGUGGCUGUACCUUAAUCGACGCUGAUGCACGAAAGCAUGGGGAGCAAACAGGAUUAGAAACCCCUGUAGUCC